GCGGUUUCUUGUUCACACAUAUCCACGACGCUGAUUCGUUUCGAGACGAAGAAACCUUAAUAACGACUGAGAUCGUGCUGGUUACGCCAAAAGGUCUUCGGCGAUUGUGCCUUCAUCGUACACACAAUACUUCACACGACUACGACCAUAUUAACUAUCAAACGUUGGAUAUUGCACUCAAGGGACAGCGCAGUGCAGACGAGCUGCUGCCGCUGCCCCUGCCCCUGCCGCCACCGCUGCUGCUACCAGUAGAUUUGUGAAGCUUUAAUGAAGAUGGAUCGGCUAUCGGUUGGUUAGGUUCGCAUUAGCGCACCAGAGGCUGAUGGCGAAAUGGGUGACGACAUGGUGACUAGCUUCGAAUAUUUCGAGCUGUGCGCAGCCGACUGUGAAGAACAGAAGGUUCAGGCUAGAGGCCCUGGCAACCGAAGCUAGUUCUAGUUUGGCGGCAGACUGAAGAUCCGACUUAGCUGAACUUAACAGAAAAACGAUAGUGACUAUAGAGCGGAACCAAAGGCUAAAUGAAAUGGUGACACAGUUGCCGAAAUCAAGCUGCAGAUACACUAGUACGCUUGGAAUGAAAAACAGGCAGGGUGACAGCAAGAAUGAAAGAGGCUGAGGUUAUCGAGAUGCGGCCAAAAGCUGCUGGCGAUUGGCGUAUCAUCGGUCAAUGAAACGCGCUCGACUGGAAGGACCAGAUACUGGACCUAAACCAUCAUCGUCAUCGAUAGUAAUUUUUAUUUGUUCCCUGAUCCGCAACCCUUUAGUAACAACCCAGCGUCAGUGAUAUUGGUACCGGCGUAAAAAAUCUCGCGGAAUAGAUAUUCUCACCCACAAGAGGCAUCUAUGGCGCGCGGGACAGGACGUUGUAGGUUAGAAACGCCUAUCAAUUUUCCCGAAAGGACCCGCCGCGUUUCUCGAGGAAAAGUAUAGCCAGUUGUAAGUUGCGCUCGAAUCUACUACAUGAUAUUUUCGUUAUUUAUAAAAACAGAACAAGCCUAGGAAGGAGCGCCUUGCACAGAAGUAUUGCUAUGAUUGUUUUUGAAAAUUUUCUGCGUUUUCGCAUUUUUCAUUUAUAUUUUACGAUCAAAUCUCUCAAAACCCAAACUUUUUUCUAUAGUCGAACAAGUGAUAAUCAUUGAUACAAUAAAUAUAUAAUAACAGGAACUGGACCUUGGCCGAACUCGUUGUCGUUCGUAUCGGUUGUAACGAAUGAGUGAUGAAACGAAGCGCAAAACCCAAUUAGCAUAAUACAAGCUUGUAUCUAAAAUACAGAUACAUUAGCAGUAUUAAUGGUUAUUAAAUUGAAAGUAGGAUAUUGUUAUGGAUUGGAGCACGAUCAAAUACGUAUAGUCUCGCAGUGUUCGCGUAUUUCUUUUUAGAGGAUGACCAUCAUUAGUUGCCUCUGGGCAUCCCAAACGGGUCAGGUGAACGUUCGUCUUGUUUUAAACUACGUAUUGCGGUUGACUAGAUGAACCGCACACUUCAUAUUUCAUUGUGGUUUUGAUUAGGCUUCCUAAAGCACAUCUAGCCAUGUGCUUUACUCAGCCCAAUCUCAGAUCGUAUUUGGAACUGUUGCAGAACCUGCAGCUCGGCGGAGGCAACGCGGAUAUCAGAUCAGAUCUGACCGCGUGUUGUUUUUUUUGUUCUAUUAAUCACCUAGUGUGCUUUAUCGCUGUGCCCCGGAGAACAAUGCUGCGUCUAUCCCUUCAUGAUAGCUUGGAAUCGCUUUAACUAAACGUACGAAUACGGGUAUGCACAGGAAACUAAUGCCCGCUACAACCAUGUCGCGUUCCGUUGUACAAUCCGCGUCUAUCCGCUGUCAACAGAACACGAUGCUAUGCCAGAUGUAAGUUUGAAACCCGGUUUCCGCUUAUGUUUACGACGCUACGGGGUCAGCGAGCUCAACAACGAUCAUAUCUUGUCUGUUGUUUCGCUAACUGAAUAAAGCUGAAUAAAGUUCGGUGCUAUAGCACGUUGAUCUAUAUAUAAAAAGUGUAAGUGUAUCAAUUAUUUUUUGCCUAUUAUAAUGAAAUUUCGGGUCCUUUUCAUCUAAAUUUCAUUGAGGAUUCUCCGAUUUGUUUCCUGGGAAAUUUCUCUUAAUUCCUUAAAAACCACCUGAAAACCCGUAACAACGUCGAUCGUUCAUCUCCUUUUCGGUAGAGGUUCGUCCCGCGUGAACACAAUGGAUAAUAGCUGACCUUCAAAUUUUUCUCAAAUUCAAAAAACGACGCACUAUUUUUCGUCAUUAUGACUUCGCUGUUUUAUUCCAUAAAAAAAACUGGCCCUAUUCCGGUAUCAAAGAUGGCGAAUGAGCACAGGCCCGCUGGACGAACAACCCGCCAAGGCCUGGCCUAAUUUAAACGUCCCACGUUGUAUAUGGUGCAUA
rnacentral:lncRNA from 1 species